rnacentral:lncRNA from 1 species
UGGACAUAUCUGCAGUCUUAUCGGUGAUUUGUGAAGCUGCCCCAUUUGUAGGAGCUGCUGCUCAUGCAAAGGCGGUUCGAUCAGAUAUCAGAAACGAGUGGGCACAUUGCAACUUCACAAAUUGGACUGAAGCAAAGUUUAUUGCUGCUUUUCAAAGUAUGGAAACUUUACUUAAGAAUGUCAAUUUGUCACCUGCAGAUGAACAGAAGUUGUGUGAUGAGCUGAAUAGUUGGAAAGAUAAAGGUAAAUAAAUUACAAUUCACUC